rnacentral:snRNA from 1 species
GUAUUAACUUUGGCAGCACAUACAAUAAAAUUAAAAUCAUACAGAGAAGAUUACCAUGGACCCUGAAUAAGGUUGACGUGCAAAUUUGUGAAGUCUUCCAUAAUUUU